AUUAAAGAGUUCUAUAACUCCCAAACCCAUGUGAACAUACCUAACGUUGCCUCGGCAGGUCGCACCUACCUUGUAGCACCCUACCCUGUAGGGCCUACCCGGGAGGUGCGGGUAAGCCUGCCGGCGGCCCACCAAACUCUGUUUGAUAUUGAAUUCUGAACCUAUAACUAAAUAAGUUAAAACUUUCAACAACGGAUCUCUUGGUUCUGGCAUCGAUGAAGAACGCAGCGAAAUGCGAUAAGUAAUGUGAAUUGCAGAAUUCAGUGAAUCAUCGAAUCUUUGAACGCAUAUUGCGCCCAUUAGUAUUCUAGUGGGCAGGACCGUUCGAGCGUCAUUUCAACCCUUAAGCCUUCGUUGCUUAGUGUUGGGAGCCUACGGCAACGUAGCUCCUCAAAGUUAGUGGCGGAGUUGGUUCACACUCUAGACGUAGUAAUUUUUUAUCUCGCCUAUUAGUUGGACUAAUCCCCUGCCGUAAAACCCCUAAUUUAUCAAGGUUGACCUCGAAUCGGUUCAGACAAAC
rnacentral:rRNA from 1 species